ensembl:lncRNA
CCGGACCGGGCCGGGAGCCCCCGGCACUUUGAGACGAGCGCAGCCAACAUUCGGAUUUGACACCAGGCCCUCGGCCAAUCCGAGAGGGCUUUUCACCUGCCAUCGCUUCCUCCGCCAAUCAGACGGCGUGUUUGGGCCGAGAGCCCUCCCCGGCCAAUCGGGAGCCGGCUGAGCCACUUAGUUAAUGAUGCAGCAGUACAGGGAAGACUAUCACAUGUGAGCUGGAAGGCUGCCAACAUGGAGACACGGAGAGAGCAAGCUGGUGUGGAAGCGUCUGGAAGGCACCGUGUACCUGUCCCCAGUGCUUUUAAAAACUGGCCGACGUGCCCUGCAAUGAUCACUGCGUCACCGUUUGCCACUUUCCGAACUACGCAGUGGCAAAGCCCCGAGCCCAGCUCACAGGGUGGCUGUUAACCCCUGCACCCAGCCCUGCCUCCACGCCAGCCCUCGGGGGGACGGCAGGGAAUAAAAAGCCCGAGCAAAACACGAAAACAGCAGUCUGCAAAGUUGUCAUCUCUCCCCCACGACUACUGCCCUCCUCUGCAUUACAGCAAUGCCGGCAAGAGUGGCAUUCGUACAACCUGUACCGACGUUCCAUUGAGAAAACAGCUCUGACGCAGAGCAGAGCAAUCAUACCCAGCCGAAAUAAUAAUGAAGGCACUUGGGGAGCUGAACUUAGGGACGAUGGGGGAAGGGGACGCCCUGCAAAGCAUUACAAAACGUAGAUGCAGCUCCAGCCCCAUCCUGAUCAAAGGGUACGUACGUGGGAAAGACGAACCGGACCGAGGAGCUCUGCCCGUGCACCAGCUGCGCAGCGUUCAGCCCUCUGCUUGCUGUGUAGCGCCGCAGAAUAGAAGGUUCCAGAAUUUUCCUUUCCGUUAACCCUUUCGGUGUCUGCCCACUCUCCCUCCCCGCGGGAUUAAGCGCGCCGGGUCUCCAGCAUCGUCAACGGGCGAAGCCUCCUACGCCAACCGAGCCCAGAUAUGUUCUCUAAAUGACACUGUCUGGUGUCAGGAGCUCCGUCCCUGGUCGUCUGAAGAGCCUGAGCUAUUUUGGGAUUUGUCUGUACUACACUGAAAAUGACACCUGUUACACACAGGCAUAAAUGAGAAGAAUUGCAAGCUCCUGGUUUCUCAGAUACAGUUCUGCCACGGAAAAAAAGAUAGGAGCUGGGGGUGUGGGAGGGCAGCCCUGGCUCUCAGCGUGGGGUGAGGAACUGACCCUUGUGUAGUCAGACAGCAGUACAGGGAGUGCAUGAGGCUUGUUGCAUCUGAUGCAGACCUCCCUGUGACCAAGAGCAGUAGUGCUUGAUCAUCGAAACGCUGCAAGAUGGGGUUUCAUACAUGACCAAACCCAUGGGACUUCAAGCCUUACAGAUCUGCUUUGUGGCCAAAGCUGCAAGCGUUAACUGUUUCAGUUAAUUGUAAGAGUGCUUCAGCUACUUAAAUGAGUCACUCAGCAGUGAUGCUCUGAAGUAGGCCAGCGUUUUGUGCAAGGUUACGCAGUUGGUUUCCGUUACCCCUGAGUUAUCUCAGAAGCUCAACCACCACACAGAGGCAGAGCGGAUUUCCGUGUUCCCCAUUGCUGUGUCUGCCUGCAGCCGAUCUGCAGUGCCCCAGGGAGGUGUCAGCAGCGUGCAGACCACCCCGCAGCCCCCAGGCACUGAGCAUGGCAGUGGGAUGGACAGAGCCUGAGAAUUGGGAUGGCUGAUGGGCAUGCUUGGCUCCCAGCAACGCUGGUAUAUUAAGAAAGUAAAACAGAGGUUUGGCUUAGUUCAAAUGGUAUGCUUUUGGUUGCUUUCAAGGGAAGAGCAGUGUUUAUUUAAUGGGUUGCUUUUGUUUGAAAAUGACCAGCCGUGGGACAUUUCUGUCUUUACCUGAUCAUAAAGCAUUUACUCUGUGGAGGCACUUCAGCUCCCAAGGAGGAUCAAAGCCACUGUGCCCUGUGAAGCGCUCAGGUUUAUUGCUAUCCGGAUGAUUUUCAUUAGUGCAUGUGGCUGUGAUGAGCUCAACCACCAUCGCUGUGAUACACAUCUUUGCCAGCCCAGCGUGUGCUCACUGUGGUCCCAUCCAACCAUAGAGCAGGUUUCCUGUUUCACAUGGGGACACCAAGGCUGUGAAUGGACGGAGGGUCGCUGUGCUCAGCCCCCAGCCCUGGAAGGCAUCUGAGAGCCCAGCUGACCAGUAGACCUCACCGAGGUUUUUUCCCAGACUGGAAGGUUUCCACCAAGUCAUGAAGAUGGUUGUGUUUGGGAUGGUCCGGUGGAUCCUGUGCCUCGUGUCAGCUCUGCCGUUUGGGGAAGGUGGGACAGCAGCAGUCUUUGAGCUGAAAUCAUCUGAUUUGCCUCCAGAGCACAUUUUCAUAUUGGUGUUCAUAGAAAUAUUGCUGAAAGCCAUUUGUGGACUCAGUGUUGCUCCUGUUGUUUUCCUAUAUGGUAGGCUGAGACAUUGCAGCUCUCUUAGGCUGUUGAGGACUAGAAGAUGGCCGUGGGCUGGGCAGGUCUUCAGCAGUGACUCUGGGGGAGUAGGUGAGCAUGCUGUUUUCCAACAGAAAUAGCAAACAUUCCUCUCUGAAGAUAUGGCUGAUAAAAAGGAUAGAUUCUGGCACUGACCGGCUGUGCUCUGUGGGAUGGGCUUUUGGGCAUUUCCAGCAACUGUGGAUGCCAGCUCUUGGCUUACAGACCUUGGUGCUGAACACAUGGGCAUUGUGUGCAGAUCCAUGCAGUACAUGUGAUGAGCAGAGAGCCGCAAUGUAGAAUUCUGGACUGACUUGGAGAGCUCCUUUUUAAGACUCAGAGCGUGAACAUGUCUGGAGGAGCAGGGAGGCUGAACUUGUGCACUUGGGGGUGGAUGGUGGCCUCCUCCAACCCAAGUAUGACGCGGGAUGAGACCUCUCACCAUGAGAUAAGACCCCAUGACCCGAGAUGCUGCACUCCAUGCCACACUGGCUCAGGUUAACCCGCAGCCCUGUUUUCCACACGUAACCAUGGUAACCCGAAUUAUCUAGCAGAGGUGCACACCAGGCCAAUUUGUCACAGCUGCUCCUCCAAACCCACUGUGUCUGCAUCGCCUGAGCCUGCACAGAGCAGGAGGACGUCUCUGUGGCUUUGCCAUUCCUAAUGCAAUCCCAGCGCAGGCAGUGGGAGGUGGGGAGAAGGAAGAGGAAGAGGACGAAUGCCAGUGCAGUUCCUGCACAAUGCUGGCUCUCAGCAGUACGAUUAGUUACUUGGCAACGAGAGCAAGGUGUGUCAGAGUGGAUGGGACACAAACAGCCCCAGCAACAGCUCCAGGAGAACUCUCAGCUAGUACGGCUCAUCUGGUUUUGCCAUGGAGCACUUAGCUGAAGGAAUUAAGUAACACCUGGAAGCAGCCUCCCACUGAGCACAUUACACAACAACCUCGUUGCCCAUAUUUUCCAUGCAAUGCCAUGUGGUGGAACUGUGUUCAGCAGAACAAAAGUUGCCUGUCUUGCCCUUCUCAUGCAGCUGAGGGAUGGCUGGGGCUGCGCUCAGGGGGACAGCACGAAUUUCUGCACUGAAAUGGAGGGAUUUAAUGGUUGCUGAUGCUCAGGAAGUGCUGUGGAUCCACUCAGUAGUAACAACUGGUUUUCCUCAAAAGAGGAAUAAGCCUUUGGAUUUCCUGAAACCUAAACCAUAAGAAAGGUAUUGUAAGACUUUACUGUGGAGCCAAACAGCACCAAAGGGAGAAAGGACACCUGCAGGACUCCCAGGAAGGUUGGAAACCACACUUAUAUUCUUUUGUAAACAUAUAAACGUGGUUUCCAUGCUCAUUUCUUGUUGUACAAGAGUAAGAGAGGGCUUAGUUCCAUCUCUUGAGACAAUUGCAUAGAAAAGGAGGAGCUGAUGUAAAUGAGCAAUUGAGAAUUACCUACACAUGAGCAGCACUGCCCAGAGGACUCAACAGGUGCCCAGUGCCAGGCCAUUAACUCUGAAGGACUGGUGGCCAAGGCCAGCAAAGCACAGGAAAACUGUGCUUAGGUGAGGAAUGCUGAAUGGGACAUCAGCAUGCAUUGGUAAUUCUGCCUCCCAGUGCCAGGACACAAGGAAAUUCUGCAUGCCUCAGGGGGCGGGUGGGGGGGGCGGUGUCUGUAAGUCACAGCAUUAAAGCAUCUGCAUUAACCUCCUUGCUCUGCUUUGAUUGUUUUCCUACAGCCCCUACAGGUGAAUCUGUGGCAAGGUAGAAGGUCCAUGGUUCUCAUAAGGAAGUGAAGGAGUUGCAAAAUGGGAGCUUCUGCAGAAAAGUGUCUUCUGGCACUAGCUGUGCCCCAUUCCUACCAUCAAUAAGCCUUGGGUGAAAAGAGGGAGGUGCUCCAGGGGGACUUGGGAAAGCAGACUGGAUGUGACAGUGAAAAAUAAGGCUAUUGGAGGCACACAGCCAUGAGCCAGGAAUGGCUGAGCCCUGAGUCCCACAGGGACUCCCUCCAUAGGUCCGCCUACAGGAGCACCAGGCUCCCACGGGUUCACUUUCAGCUGCUGAGAGCCAUUCUAUCCUUAGCACUGCCCUCCCCAGAGCUGCCACAAAUGUGUUCUGCACUGUGAGUCCAGAGAUCCACAGCUGCAGCUCUGGAGUGGGAGCUUUCCUUGGCAGCUCUGGGUGAGACGUGGGCGAGGGCACCAGUGGAAGGAGCCCCGUUACGCCCUGACCCGUGUGAGCACACGUCUGUUUCUGCGCAGCCUCCCUCGCAGACCCGCCGAAAUCUGGGUUAUAUAAUGCCACUGCUGCCUCGAAACAGGGAGGUUAAAAUGAGGUCGUCCAAGAUGGGAGCUGCCUGCAGCCUGCAGCCGCCUCGGGAGGACUGCCUGCGCCGAGCCCUGCGCGCAGAGGAGCACUGCAACAUAAACAUACAGAAACAUAGGUCAGGAUGCUGGAAGUCUCCGGAGCGCUCAUGGUGUGGAAUCAGGCCCAUUUCUUUAUUUGCAACUCCCUGUUUAUGUGACGAACUGUGCUGAGCAGGCAGCGUGACGGGCUGCGGUCACAGGGCACUGCAGAGCUGCGGGGUGCCAGAUCCACACAGCGCAGAGCUCUGUGCCACAGCCAGCCCCAGGUGUUACCCUUUUUAAGCAUGUUUUAAGGGUGCAAGGUCUACAUUAUUCCUUCCAUCAUUGCUUUAUUUGCAGUAUGCCAGGGAAAGGCCAUCGCUCCAAGGGGAUCCACGUAAGAAAGUAUAGGACUGUAAUAGAAAAAGCAAGAAUUCUAUUGCAUUAAAGCAGAUAUUCUUUUUCCAGAACACUAAUGCAAUUCCUCCAGAACAAAGAGUGGAAGCUUCCUCCUGUAAAUGCAUUUCACAGAGACCACAAGGUGGGAAACGUGGGGCUGUUUGAGGGGAGCUGCUUGGGAUGAGCACAUCAGUGAGUUCAGCACUGGGCAUUGGGUGAUUCCAUGACUGGAGGGCCACUAAAACCAACACGCUGCUGCAAACAAAGAGACAAAAGUCACAUUACCAGGAGCACAUGAGUUUGAGGAAGACCUACUCCCUCCUAACAGCAUGUGAAAACACCUGAUUUCCCAUUGUCAUGGUAAGCCUUUCCUUCAAAGCACUCCUAAUUUGUUUCCUGAUCCUCCAGCUUCUUGGUUGGUGCCAGAACAGAGCAGUGAGGGCUGGAGAGUUGUUGGCAGGACAGCAGCUGGGGAACAGUCUUUGUCUUUGACAGCAAGCGAUGGACAGUGCUUCUGUCCCACUGGGGGGAAUUUCUGCAUCACCAUCACUAAACUGGAUACAUGUGGGAUGAUUGCUGACCACAGAAAGAAGCCGAAGAUGAACCACCUACCUGCUGAAGGCAGAGGAUCAGCGCUGCUCCAGCCUUGCUCCUUGUUGGUACACAAGUUAGGCAAGUUACUUCGGGUAGAGAUCCCAGUGGGGGAUGGAGCCCUGUGUUAUCCUCCAAAGGGUCCCAGUUUGUGCAGGCAAUAUAACUGCACAUCAGUCUUUGCUGCUCCACAGCAGCACUCCCUUUGGGUUACUUCUCUGCUGAUUUUCAGAGGGAGCAGUUGGGCUGAGAACCCAGAGGGGCAGCCUGGCCAAUGCAGUGUUGCAAACUCUGCCCCAUCCUGGCAGAGCAAUGCAAAGGCAGGGAGUUACCCCGAGUAAAACCCUUGCUCAGAUGGACCAUGAACGCAGCCACAGGAUAAGGUAGCAACCCAUAACGUAGGUAAGAAGCAUUUUGCAAAGGGGCAGUGCGUAAAAACAAGCCUGAGCAAAAGGAAAGUUAAGCCUCUUAAAUAUUAAAGUUCCAAAAUUAAACCCUUGUUUAUAUAACAGUUGGGUCACUGCUGCAGAACACGGGAGUUCACAGCAUUGCACCAAAAAAGGCUCUCGUGGAGCCAACAGCUGCUCCCCAGGGGCUCAGAGCAGGUGGGGAGCAGAGCUGCAGCCAGGAGGAUGCUCGUAGGGUUCAGCUGCCCUGACACGAAGUCUGCAGUCACCCCAUAAAGCAGUGCAACCCUUCGGGAUGUGCCUUGGAAGUUGGUGUAGGGGGAUGUCCGGCCCAUUCCUGCCUGCCCCCCUGCUUCGGUUUGGCUCAUCGCAGGUGAUAGCACAGCAACACAAGGCAAAUGCAUGCACAAAACAUAGAGAAUAACUUCAUGAAGUUUCUCUGCUGCUCAGUUAUCUUCAAAAAGCCAUCUAGAAAGGCCCGCAGAUACACCCCUACUUAUUAUUUUGUAAGAAAAGAGCACAAAAGAACUUAAUCCAAAGUAAAUAUUUAACCAAACAGCAAUUAACUAACAAUGAUGGAUUGUAAACAGCGCUGCUCCGAGGCUGAGCUGCAGCUCUCCUCUGUUUCUCUGGGCUACGGCUGCCCUAAGGGGGAAGGCAAGUUUACCGAGUCAGAUUUGUCUCUGCCACCUCGCUAUUAAAAGGCUCUACAAACAGAAACGGCAUCGGAUGAUCUGAGAGCGAGGAAAACAAUAAAGAACACAGCAAUGCAGGGCACGGGAGUUGUAAGGCUUUAUGGAGCAACUGUCCUUGGGAAGGAGGGCUGAGCAAACACGAAGCUGUAAAGGAACUGCUUCCCAUCCGGGCAGCUUGUGUGAUACAUCCCAUGGGGCAGCAGUCCCACUUACCCACGAGGAAGUAGUGAUAAUAACAAUAAUAAUAAUAAUGUAUUUUAAUAUUUUAAUACUUAAUACUUAUUAAAUUAUUAUUAUGUCCCAUUUGUUAUUGUUAUGCUCCAUUAUCAUUAUGUUCCCUUCGGGAAGAUGUCCCCCCCACGGAUCACUACUUCCAUAAUAAUAAUAAUAAUAAUAAUACCACCACCACAAAUUCUAGUAAGUAUUAUCUCUUAUUUCCCACCCCCAGGUGCCUCCGGCAGCUGCAGCAGCCCGGCCAGGCUCUGUCCGUGCCCCCACCUGCACCAUGGCCCAGGGAAAGGGGUGGUUAUGGGGCGGGGUGGUGCACGGGGGACGCUCCCAUCCCGGCCCCUCU